rnacentral:rRNA from 1 species
UGGGGAAUUUUGGACAAUGGGCGCAAGCCUGAUCCAGCCAUGCCGCGUGGGUGAAGAAGGCCUUCGGGUUGUAAAGCCCUUUCGGCUGGGACGAAAAGCACUGGGCUAAUACCUUGGUGUCAUGACGGUACCCAAAGAAUAAGCACCGGCUAACUUCGUGCCAGCAGCCGCGGUAAUACGAAGGGUGCAAGCGUUACUCGGAAUUACUGGGCGUAAAGCGUGCGUAGGCGGUUUGUUAAGUCUGUCGUGAAAGCCCCGGGCUCAACCUGGGAAUGGCGAUGGAAACUGGCGAAGCUAGAGUACGGUAGAGGAGAGUGGAAUUCCCGGUGUAGCAGUGAAAUGCGUUAGAGAUCGGGAGGAACAUCAGUUGCGAAGGCGGCUCUCUGGACCAGUACUGACGCUGAGGCACGAAAAGCGUGGGAGCAAACA